rnacentral:lncRNA from 7 species
UUCCUGUUUUCUUUUUCAAAAGCAGCAGCGGUGAGUGCCUAUCAGCUCACAAUCACCCUCAGCACCAUAAAGACACACGGAGUUCGGAAAAAGGAAGCCCUCAAAAUGAAUGUCUUUCCUUGGCUACAUCACCACUUUCACAAUAUCAGUCUCCGAGGAGCAAUUUGAAGAACAAUCUCCAAGAAAGGCUAAAGAAAAAAUAAAAACUCUCAGCAGUGGGAUCCUCCCUCCCACAUCAUCCACUCCCAGCACACGCAGCAGAUCAGGCUGACAAGGAGGCGGCUCAGUGGGGACAUGGACAGGGGGAGCACCUUCAGCAAGAAAAGAGCAAGCGCUGCUGGUCCAUUUGCAUCUAACCCAACUUCUCAGAUUAAGUACAUCCAGAAAUAUACAGGGCUACAUCUACUCGGUGUAGAGAAACAGAACAGAGAAGUCAAGGUGGAAGUUAAACCCACCCCAACCACAUGGGUAAAAAAUAGAUUCUGUUCACUGAAGUGAAAUUAAAACCAGAACAAUUCAAGAGCUUCUUGAACGUAAACCUACCUCUGAAGCUCAUUUUCUACACUCGUCCACUCCAUCAUUUCAAAAUAGCUUUGUAUUUAUACUUACAAUCAAUACCAUAGGAAUAUUCAACAUAAAGUUUGUCAACACAGGCAAAAAGUGUGCUUGCCUAAUGAGAAUUGUUGUCCUGAUCUACGUAACCUCAAACAGAUCUGGACAGGGUCCUCAGAGCUCUGAUCCUCACCAGGACACCCAUUUUGGCAGAAAAUUCUGGGUCUGGCCUCCGAGUUCCAAAUAAUGCACGAUCACACACAUGUCAGAUCUGCUGUCUGACAAGGGGACACAAGUUACACGAUAUCCCAUAAGUGCUGCAAGUGAUAAAACUAGCUUGUUACCGGGCAGGAAAAAACAACUCUGCUCCUACAACCUUGUGAAACCCGAUGCAAGGUGUGGGGGCACAACAAAAGGCCGUCACAGAGCUGCCUUGUGGAGCAGUACAGGGGCAGGUGGAUGGGAUGGAGAGCUGCUGCAAUGCACUGUUCAGCGUGUCCCGUGUUACUCGGGUGAGCGUUCCUCACUGCUGGUAGCACUGAAGUACAUGGAUGCAACUUACCUGGCUACAGAAACCGAGCAGUGGCAGCAGAUUAAAUACACGUCAGCAGCUUGAAAGGAGUGCCAAAAGCACUUCACUUUGUAUUUCCAGUAAGAACAGAGUAGGUGAACUGAAGACAAAAGAAUUUCAGCAAGGCAGAAUUACUUUCCCCCUAGGAACAGUAAUUACAUCUAAUUAUUACUUGAUCUGAAUCAGUUUUUGGAAGGUCGGUCGCAUUCUCCCACUGAACAAAAUGCCUUAUCUCGGUGAAGAAAAGAACGCAGAACAAACACAGCUUAAAGUACACUGAGUUUGGCCACAGCUGCAAAGAUCACACACAGCUUACAAAAUAAAGAUCAUAACAGAUGAAAUGACAUACACGUAGCUGGCUGCUCCAGUGAUAUGCUCUACGUUCUGGAAACCCAAACUGAUCUCAGGAGCUACACUCACGCUUCCAUUGCACAGAACAGACUCCCUUCGUUUAGUCUGAUCUGAAUUUUACUGUAGAAGGAUGUCUAAGAGCACAGCCCCACAUCCUCAAUACUUUGCAGCAAGUUGCUUUGUGCAACAGGGACUCAUGUUUAAUGCAACCAUCAAAACAAAAAUAUUAGGGAAGCGCAUUUCUACGUGCAUAAUAAAGUCAUGUCACUGCAAUGACAGAGACACUAAACCCACUGCUUCCACGGCAUCCUCAUUACAGUCUUCAGGGCUCUCAUUUAUGCUAAUAGUUCAGAUCGUUAACGCCUUGUUUGACGUGGGAAAAUAGGAUGCUACUUCGGGCACAAAACACCUGUACUGCUACGGAGACAGCGGGUUGUGAUAAUGAAGAUACGAAGUACUCCAGCUCCAAGCACAGUCUAUUGGUCUUCACAUGGCCCUUUUAAUGAUCAGAAAGCAUUUCUGAAGGCGCGAGCUACUGCACAUAAACAUGUCCUUAAGCUUCUUUCCCUCUGUAAAGUUACCAUACAAGUGAAUAAACUUUGAAC